rnacentral:lncRNA from 1 species
AAGUAGGUCCUUAACUCCCAGGAGAUGACAAAGCCCCUCCCAUGCCUCUGACCUGACAUCUCUGCACGUGUGUGUGGUAUUCACAUGUUGGGGCUUGCUGUUCCUGGGGUCCUUAUGUCUCAUCUGUGGCCUAGGUGGCAUCUGUAAGGCCCUGAGUCCAGCGUUGGAUCAUGGAGGGCCCUAAAAAUGGUAGUUUCCUUUUCUCUAAGACAGGGCCUGGAGGAAGACCAGACAUCAACCUCCCAAGCUGGCUGAAAUCGUCUUACUGUCUGACACAGAGCCGGGUUCUCCCUAGUACAUGCUGCUCUGGAAUACCUAGGAGAGGAAGAGGAAGGAGGCAAGGUAAGCUGGGGGCUUUUCACACUAAAGGCCUACAGAGGGGUAGGUGGAGUCGGCAUAGGUGCCA